rfam:Felis catus isolate Cinnamon breed Abyssinian chromosome B1, whole genome shotgun sequence.
GCCUGGGUGGCUCAGUCAGUUGAGCAUCUGACUUCAGCUCAGAUUGUGAUCUUGUGGUUCACGAGUUCAAGCCCCAUGUCAGGCU